rnacentral:rRNA from 1 species
UAACUGGCACGUCUCGCGGAACGUCCUGGCCGUGGAUGUGAGAAUUUUUGUAUACUUACCCUAAUGUAUUAUGCGUGGGCAAAUUAUUGUUUUAUAUAGUUCUUGGUAUUUAUAAAUAAAUCCAUUGUGGUUUAUUUAUUAUGCUAUCCUAUAUUUUGACAUUUUUUGUUACUGUAUAGUGCUAUUAGGUUCAGGAGUUACAAAUCAAUCCAUAUCCGACUUAUAAAAUCCUGUCGCGGUGCUCUUAACUGAGUGUCGAGGCGGGCCGGCACGUUUACUUUGAACAAAUUAGAGUGCUCAAAGCAGGCUAAAAUUUCGCCUGAAUACUGUGUGCAUGGAAUAAUGGAACAGGACCUCGGUUCUAUUUUGUUGGUUUUCGGAACCCCGAGGUAAUGAUUAAUAGGGACAGAUGGGGGCAUUCGUAUUGCGACGUUAGAGGUGAAAUUCUUGGAUCGUCGCAAGACGGACAGAAGCGAAAGCAUUUGCCAAAAAUGUUUUCAUUAAUCAAGAACGAAAGUCAGAGGUUCGAAGGCGAUCAGAUACCGCCCUAGUUCUGACCAUAAACGAUGCCAGCUAGCGAUCCGCCGACGUUCCUCCGAUGACUCGGCGGGCAGCUUCCGGGAAACCAAAGCUUUUGGGUUCCGGGGGAAGUAUGGUUGCAAAGCUGAAACUUAAAGGAAUUGACGGAAGGGCACCACCAGGAGUGGAGCCUGCGGCUUAAUUUGACUCAACACGGGAAACCUCACCAGGCCCGGACACCGGAAGGAUUGACAGAUUGAGAGCUCUUUCUUGAUUCGGUGGGUGGUGGUGCAUGGCCGUUCUUAGUUGGUGGAGUGAUUUGUCUGGUUAAUUCCGAUAACGAACGAGACUCUAGCCUGCUAACUAGGCGUUACUUACCGGUAUCCUGAAGGCUCGUGUCUUUCGUUUCCUGGCAUGCAUUUUUGUGUGGUGUAUCAUUGUUUCGGCAGUGUGCAUUUGCACGGUGUAUGUUCAGUGCGAAAGUUCACGGUUUUUACUACCGGCGUACAUAUAAAUCUUCUUAGAGGGACAGGCGGCUCUUAGCCGCACGAGAUUGAGCAAUAACAGGUCAGUGAUGCCCUUAGAUGUUCUGGGCCGCACGCGCGCUACACUGAAGGAAUCAGCGUGUCUUCCCUGGCCGAACGGUCCGGGUAACCCGCUGAACCUCCUUCGUGCUAGGGAUUGGGGCUUGCAAUUUUUCCCCAUGAACGAGGAAUUCCCAGUAAGCGCGAGUCAUAAGCUCGCGUUGAUUAAGUCCCUGCCCUUUGUACACACCGCCCGUCGCUACUACCGAUUGAAUGAUUUAGUGAGGUCUUCGGACUGGUACGCGGUGGCGUUUUUACAUCACCGAUGUCGCUGGGAAGAUGACCAAACUUGAUCAUUUAGAGGAAGUAAAAGUCGUAACAAGGUUUCCGUA